rnacentral:rRNA from 1 species
AUUGAACGCUGGCGGCAUGCUUUACACAUGCAAGUCGAACGGUAACAGGCCGCAAGGUGCUGACGAGUGGCGAACGGGUGAGUAAUGCAUCGGAACGUGCCCAGUCGUGGGGGAUAACGCAGCGAAAGCUGCGCUAAUACCGCAUACGAUCUAUGGAUGAAAGCGGGGGACCGUAAGGCCUCGCGCGAUUGGAGCGGCCGAUGUCAGAUUAGGUAGUUGGUGGGGUAAAGGCUCACCAAGCCGACGAUCUGUAGCUGGUCUGAGAGGACGACCAGCCACACUGGGACUGAGACACGGCCCAGACUCCUACGGGAGGCAGCAGUGGGGAAUUUUGGACAAUGGGGGCAACCCUGAUCCAGCAAUGCCGCGUGCAGGAAGAAGGCCUUCGGGUUGUAAACUGCUUUUGUACGGAACGAAAAGGCUCUGGUUAAUACCCGGAGCUAAUGACGGUACCGUAAGAAUAAGCACCGGCUAACUACGUGCCAGCAGCCGCCGUAACAC